UAGGGAAUCUUCCGCAAUGGACGAAAGUCUGACGGAGCAACGCCGCGUGAGUGAAGAAGGAUUUCGGUUCGUAAAACUUUGUUGUUAGGGAAGAAAAAAUGUAUAGUAACUAUAUACAAAAGAGACGGUACCUAACCAGAAAGCCACGGCUAACUACGUGCCAGCAGCCGCGGUAAUACGUAGGUGGCAAGCGUUGUCCGGAAUUAUUGGGCGUAAAGCGCGCGCAGGUGGUUUAGAAAGUCUGAUGUGAAAGCCCACGGCUCAACCGUGGAGGGUCAUUGGAAACUAAUAAACUUGAGUGCAGGAGAGAAAAGUGGAAUUCCUAGUGUAGCGGUGAAAUGCGUAGAGAUUAGGAGGAACACCGGUGGCGAAAGCGGCUUUUUGGCCUGCAACUGACACUGAGGCGCGAAAGCGUGGGGAGCAAACAGG
rnacentral:rRNA from 1 species